AUUGAACGCUGGCGGCAUGCUUUACACAUGCAAGUCGGACGGCAGCACAGAGAAGCUUGCUUCUUGGGUGGCGAGUGGCGAACGGGUGAGUAACAUAUCGGAACGUACCGAGCAGUGGGGGAUAACUAAUCGAAAGAUUAGCUAAUACCGCAUAUUUUCUGAGGAAGAAAGCAGGGGACCUUUUGGCCUUGCGCUGUUUGAGCGGCCGAUGUCUGCUUAGCUAGUUGGUGGGGUAAAGGCCUACCAAGGCGACGAUCAGUAGCGGGUCUGAGAGGAUGAUCCGCCGCACUGGGACUGAGACGCGGCCUAGACUCCUACGGGAGGCAGCAGUGGGGAAUUUUGGACAAUGGGCGCAAGCCUGAUCCAGCCAUGCCGCGUGUCUGAAGAAGGCCUUCGGGUUGUAAAGGACUUUUGUCAGGGAAGAAAAGGGCGGGGUUAAUACCCCUGUCUGAUGACGGUACCUGAAGAAUAAGCACCGGCUAACUACGUG
rnacentral:rRNA from 1 species